rnacentral:rRNA from 1 species
GGGACACGUGGUAUCCUGUCUGAAUAUGGGGGGACCAUCCUCCAAGGCUAAAUACUCCUGACUGACCGAUAGUGAACCAGUACCGUGAGGGAAAGGCGAAAAGAACCCCGGCGAGGGGAGUGAAAAAGAACCUGAAACCGUGUACGUACAAGCAGUGGGAGCACGCUUAGGCGUGUGACUGCGUACCUUUUGUAUAAUGGGUCAGCGACUUAUAUUCUGUAGCAAGGUUAACCGAAUAGGGGAGCCGAAGGGAAACCGAGUCUUAACUGGGCGUUAAGUUGCAGGGUAUAGACCCGAAACCCGGUGAUCUAGCCAUGGGCAGGUUGAAGGUUGGGUAACACUAACUGGAGGACCGAACCGACUAAUGUUGAAAAAUUAGCGGAUGACUUGUGGCUGGGGGUGAAAGGCCAAUCAAACCGGGAGAUAGCUGGUUCUCCCCGAAAGCUAUUUAGGUAGCGCCUCGUGAAUUCAUCUCCGGGGGUAGAGCACUGUUUCGGCAAGGGGGUCAUCCCGACUUACCAACCCGAUGCAAACUGCGAAUACCGGAGAAUGUUAUCACGGGAGACACACGGCGGGUGCUAACGUCCGUCGUGAAGAGGGAAACAACCCAGACCGCCAGCUAAGGUCCCAAAGUCAUGGUUAAGUGGGAAACGAUGUGGGAAGGCCCAGACAGCCAGGAUGUUGGCUUAGAAGCAGCCAUCAUUUAAAGAAAGCGUAAUAGCUCACUGGUCGAGUCGGCCUGCGCGGAAGAUGUAACGGGGCUAAACCAUGCACCGAAGCUGCGGCAGCGACGCUGAUGCGUUGUUGGGUAGGGGAGCGUUCUGUAAGCCUGCGAAGGUGUGCUGUGAGGCAUGCUGGAGGUAUCAGAAGUGC